UGGGGUCAUGGGUGGACACAGUACUGAAACAUUUGUGAAACCAGAGAAGAUUUCAUAAGCUGCUGUUCUUGGAAUUUUUGAAAUAACUUCUUGCCCUUUCUUCUGGCCCCUAGCUCCCAGACUUGUUGCUCCAUUGUAUGCAGUUUUGAAAGAAUCUCUGGCACUGCAGAAUUCAAGUACAAGGGUUUUAAGAGUGUCCCUCUUCCUUCAGGCGGUGGGUCACCCAGCCUGGAGGGGGAGCUAGAGAGUAAUGACAUGGAGGGGAUUCCUGGUAAUCUUUCUUACAAAGGGGUCUGCCUCGGGCCUUCUUUGUCCUAAAAAAAUCUUGUAAAGAGACAGUUUUUAUUUUUUUACCCAGGAAUUCAAAUGCCCUGUAUGAUUAUGGAUAUCUGUUUGGAUGUCAGCAGAUUUGGCAACUUUUUAAUAUUACAUGAUUGUUGAUUUUCAAAUCCUGGAUUACUUUAUUGUUUUUCAAAGUGAAUUUAGAAUUCGUCUGUUUAUUCUUGACCCCUUAAUCCCUAGAUGGGUUGUAAGCAUGAAUGCC
rnacentral:lncRNA from 1 species